rnacentral:rRNA from 1 species
AUUGAACGCUGGCGGCAGGCCUAACACAUGCAAGUCGAACGAGUGGCGGACGGGUGAGUAAUGUCUGGGAAACUGCCUGAUGGAGGGGGAUAACUACUGGAAACGGUAGCUAAUACCGCAUACCAUCAGAUGUGCCCAGAUGGGAUUAGCUAGUUGGUGGGGUAACGGCUCACCAAGGCGACGAUCCCUAGCUGGUCUGAGAGGAUGACCAACCACACUGGAACUGAGACACGGUCCAGACUCCUAAGGGAGGCAGCAGUGGGGAAUAUUGGCCAAUGGGCGCAAGCCUGAUGCAGCCAUGGCGGGUGUAUGAAGAAGGCCUUCGGGUUGUAAAGUACUUUCAGCGGGGGGGCGUUACCCGGAGGAGAAGCCCCGGCUAACUCCGUGGCCGGAGCCGCGGUAAUAC